AAAUUCUAAAUACCAGUUUUUUGUGGAUGCUUUGGUUCAAAAGAAGAAGGACGUUGUACAAAACGAAACGUUAUACCUAGAGUGCACUCGGUGAGGUAUAAAUUUCCUCCGUGGGAAACCACUGGCUUUUAUUUAACUGGGUGAAUUGAAACAUCUAAGUAACCCAAGGAAAAGAAAUCAACCGAGAUUCCGUAAGUAUCGGCGAGAGAACAUGGAAAAGACCAAACACCUUGGAAAGUCACCGCCGAAAGAUGUGGAAAAAUCUACCAAAGAGGGUGAAAGUCCCGUAGACGUGGCUUCUAAGGUGUGUUCAAAAGAGUAAAACGAAAGUAUUUGUUUGAAUACAGGAGGCCCACCUUCUAGGUCUAAAUAUGCUUUUGAAACCAAUAGUGAACAAGUACCGUGAGGGAAAAGUGAAAAGAACCUUAACUAAGGAGUGAAAGAGAACCUGAAACAAAAAAUAACCAUGCAAUCGAUUUUCUCUGUACGGGAGGUCGGUGUACCUUUUGCAUAAUGGGUCAGCGAGUAAAUAAAAAAAGCGAGGCUUAAACGACGAAGUGGAGGCAAAGCAAAAGCGAGUAUGAAGAGUGCGUGUGUUUUUUUUAUUUGACCCGAAACUAAGUGAUCUAGCUUUGAACAGGCUGAAGAAAGGGUAAAAGCUUUUGGAGGGCCGAACUGACGUCUGUUGCAAUAGACGCAGAUGAGUUGAGGCUAGGGGUGAAAGGCCAAUCAAACUUAGAGAUAGCUGGUUCUCCGCGAAAUUUAUUGAGGUAAAGCGUUCAACGAUGUAGAAAGGGGGUAGAGCACUCAUUAGGUAAAGGGGAUCCAAAGUCUUACUGAACUUAUUGAAACUCCGAAGACCUUUCUUUGAUAUCUUGAGCAGACAGACUUAAAGUGCUAAGGUUUUAAGUCAAAAGGGAAACAGCCCAGACUGUUCGCUAAGGUCCUUAAACAUUUUGGAAGUGGUAAAAGGCGUUUUAAAACAAAGACAGCUAGGAGAUUGGCUUGGAAGCAGCCAUUCUAUAAUGAAAGCGUAAUAGCUCACUAGUCGAGUUUUAAAGCACUGAUAAUGUAUCGGGGCUUCACAAAAUUACCCAAGCGACAGAGAACAAUGGUAGCGGAGCGUUUUGUAGACCGUAGAAGAAGUUUUGUGAAAAACUUUGGAGGAUUCAAAAGUGAGAAUGCUGACAUGAGUAACGAAAAAUCAUGUGACAAUCAUGAUCGCCGUAAGUUCAAGGGUUUCUGCGUUCUGUUUUUCAGCGCAGAGUGAUCCGGUCUCUAAGUGUGUUUUUGAUAAAAAACCACGAUGAAAAAAAUGAAAGAUGACGAAAUGUUUUUUAGAAACCAACAGUUUAUUGGGUAGCUGUUUCGUCUCUAAUGUUUCCAGGAAAAAUCUUCAUAAAAUUGACCGUACCCUAAACCGACACCGGUGAACGAGUCGAGUAGACUCAGGCGUUGAGUGAACCAUAUUGAAGGAACUCGGCAAAUUUUUCCUGUACCUUUGGAAGAAAGGAAGCCAAUUUUGGUGACACAAAAAUGGGGGUGACGACUUUUUACUAAAAAAUUAGGACUCUGCAAAAUGGGAACAUGAAGUAUAGGGUCUGACGCCUGCCCGGUGCUUGAAGCUUAACCUGUAUGCUUUUUCGGUAUAUUGAGAAGGCCUAGUAAACGGCGGUUGUAACUAUAACAAUCAUAAAGUAGCGAAAUUCAUUGUCAGCUAAUUCCUGACCUGCAUGAAAGGCGUAACGAUUGCCCCACUGUCUCCAGUAUGGACUCAGUGAAAUUGAAUUCUCCGUGCAGAUGCGGAGUACGUGCCCCAAGACGAGAAGACCCUGUGCAUCUUUACUGUACAUUUACACUGGAAAAAAGCUUAAAUUGUGUAGGAU
rnacentral:rRNA from 1 species